rnacentral:rRNA from 1 species
GGGUACUGCUGUAAAAACGGCGGCCACCACGUCGAUGAAGAAAACCACMACGAACGCUACCGACUGCAUCAGCAGCAGCAGCAGCAGUAGCAGCAGCAUGCACCGCCGCCGAUCAUGCAGUGCCCGCCGCCGCCGCCGCCGCCGCCGCCGCCGCCGCCGCCGCCGCCGCCGUGCAGAAACAAAAAAAAAACCUCUCCCUCACUUGUUGUGUUUACCCUUUUAUCCGCCGCCCUCGGCUCGGACGAGACGACCCGCUGAACUUAAGCAUAUCGCUAAGCGGAGGAAAAGAAACCAACCGGGAUUCCCUUAGUAACGGCGAGUGAACCGGGAGAAGCCCAACGCCGAAUCCCGUCGCAAGUAAAAGGCUUCGGGACAUGUGGCGCAUGGGUCGAAGGCAGCCGUUCGUUUUCGUCUCGCGUGGAGUUCCCUCGAUCGGGGCCGCCCGUGGCGGGUGCCAGGCCCAUUCGGUGCGGACGGCGAGCGACGGCCUUCGAUCCGAGAGUCGGGUUGCUUGGUAACGCAGCCCAAAUCGGGUGGUAAGCUCCAUCCAAGGCUAAAUACCGGGACGAGUCCGAUAGUCGACAAGUACCGUGAGGGAAAGUUGAAAAGAACUUUGGAGAGAGAGUUCAAGAGAACGUGAAACCGUCCAGGGGUAAACGGGUGGGACCGCUCACCGCGAUCGCGGGGGGACUCAGUCCGGUGCUUCCUAGGCUCGAGCCCAAACUCGAUUAACACAUAGAGGCCGCUGCGGACAUCGUCGUGUCCGUGAGGGUGGGCGGGGGUUCACGCCUCCGAUUCCUCCUUGCGGGCCAGCUUUUGCGCCCGCGUCGCCGACGAAGGAGACGGGCCGCGUAGAUAGUGGGAAGGGAAACGUGGUGACGUGGUUGCCUCGCGGCGUCACGAAACCGCUUCUUCUUUCCUCUCGCUCCCUCUGCGCGCGUCGCCGCCUAACUAAUUCCGUCCCCUUCUCGCCGCUCGGCAAUCAAUGUCGCGGGCGCUUCGGCGCGACGUAACAAACGACCGCACGGUCGGCACCGGACGCACUUCCCCUCCGGUCCGUCGUCGCGACCCGUUCCCGGCGUGCAGGUAGACACGCGGGUUUUUCCGUAGGCGGCAGGCGCUUCAGAAAACUCCCAUAUCCCUUUCAUAGGGGAUGCGGGAGCCACCAGCCGUCGGGCCCGCGAACGUAACUGCCCCUUUCUGCCGGGGACGGAGGAAAUCUGACGCGAUCCCUUACACGUGGCGAGCCGGUUCGUCUUUAAUCCCGUCAGACGUCUCGUGCGGGGGGAUUUCGUAUCCCCCCCUUCGGCACCCCACCGUCUCGGGUGUGUGCGAGAGAAGAGACGGGAGAGAACUGGCGCGGCCUCGCCGUCACGCACCUCGCCGGUGUGCGGGUUAUUUUCUAGUGGUGUCGGGGGUGACCCCGCCCACGCCCGCGCCGUCCGGUGUGGUCGCUCGGCGACGUCCUUUACGGCCGCCCGCCACUUCGGGUCAGCGACGUGCAUCGGCAACCCACCCGACCCGUCUUGAAACACGGACCGAGAAGUCCUGGCCGUUCGCGAGUCGUAGGGGCCCCCUCUGACGAACCCCGAAGGCGUAGCGAAAGCGAGAGAGCGUGUUGGAGGGCGCCGACCGAGAGAGGUGUCGUGGCGAAGUCGUCCGGGGGUUGUCGGGGGGUUAGCAGCGGUUUCGGCCGUCGCUUCUUCCUAGCUUCACCCGCCUCCUAGCCGUGCCCGAUCCCGCCGGUGCGGUGUCCUGCCGCUGUGUGUUUUUUUUCUUUCCCCGUCCGUCGUCGGUGGCGGCUCUGCUGCUGCUAUUCGUCGGGUGCGGGAAAGGGCGCGCGGUUGUUUCCCUCCUCCCCGAGAGGGGACCGGACUAGGGAAUUGUGGGGCACCAGCUUCUAUCCUCCUUCCGCCCAUCGGUGAGAUCCCGCGGCUUGAACUAGUCCUAUUUUGUCGUCGAGUUUAGGCACUGCACGCGGGCGCAUCACCCCCGGGUCGGUGGUUUAACCUUUCCGAGUACGACUCGGCCGACUCUGGUGUAGCGAACGGCCAGGGACCCGAAAGAUGGCGAUCCACGCCCGGUCGGGAUGAAGCCAGAGGAAACUCUGGUGGAAGUCCGAAGCGCCUCUGACGUGCAAAUCGAUCGUCGGAACCGGGUGUAGGGGCGAAAGACCAAUCGAGCCGUCUAGUAGCUGGUUCCCUCCGAAGUUUCCCUCAGGAUAGCUGGCGCUCGAUCGUCGCAAUUCCAUCCGGUAAAGCGAACGAUUGGAGGCCCCGGGGCCGUUCACGGCCUCGACCUACUCUCGAACUCUGAACGGGUGGAACGGGCCGACUCUCCCGAACAACGGAGCCGACCCACAUUUUCUUGUCGUCGCCGCACGACAAAGAAAACGAAUGCGAGUGCCAAGUGGGCCACUUUUGGUAAGCAGAACUGGCGCUGUGGGAUGAACCAAACGUCCGGCUAAGGUGCCUAACGCGACGCCCAUGAGAUCCCCGAA